ensembl:miRNA
CAGGGGUCACUAGGCUGUUUAGAGGCUCCUUGUAUUUACUCCGCUGGCUCUGUUGUUCCUGGGCUCCUCCAUGUCUGCCCUUGGAAGCAGGUCUGGAGCAGGGAGCAAGGUCAGCUUCCCUAAAGACUUGAGUGACUAC